rnacentral:rRNA from 1 species
GUGAACGCUGGCGGUAGGCCUAACACAUGCAAGUCGAACGGCAGCACAGUAAGAGCUUGCUCUUGCGGGUGGCGAGUGGCGGACGGGUGAGGAAUACAUCGGAAUCUACUUUUUCGUGGGGGAUAACGUAGGGAAACUUACGCUAAUACCGCAUACGACCUACGGGUGAAAGCAGGGGAUCUUCGGACCUUGCGCGAUUGAAUGAGCCGAUGUCGGAUUAGCUAGUUGGCGGGGUAAAGGCCCACCAAGGCGACGAUCCGUAGCUGGUCUGAGAGGAUGAUCAGCCACACUGGAACUGAGACACGGUCCAGACUCCUACGGGAGGCAGCAGUGGGGAAUAUUGGACAAUGGGCGCAAGCCUGAUCCAGCCAUACCGCGUGGGUGAAGAAGGCCUUCGGGUUGUAAAGCCCUUUUGUUGGGAAAGAAAAGCAGCAGGUUAAUACCCCGCUGUUCUGACGGUACCCAAAGAGUAAGCACCGGCUAACUUCGUG